GGAAUUGACGGGGCCGCACAAGCGGUGGAGCAUGUGGUUAAUUCGAAGCAACGCGAAGAACCUUACAGGUCUUGACAUCCCGAUGCUAUUCUAGAGAUAGAAAGUUACUUCGGUACAUCGGUGACAGGUGGUGCAUGGUUGUCGUCAGCUCGUGUCGUGAGAUGUUGGGUUAAGUCCCGCAACGAGCGCAACCCCUAUUGUUAGUUGCCAUCAUUCAGUUGGGCACUCUAGCGAGACUGCCGGUAAUAAACCGGAGGAAGGUGGGGAUGACGUCAAAUCAUCAUGCCCCUUAUGACCUGGGCUACACACGUGCUACAAUGGUUGGUACAACGAGUUGCGAGUCGGUGACGGCGAGCUAAUCUCUUAAAGCCAAUCUCAGUUCGGAUUGUAGGCUGCAACUCGCCUACAUGAAGUCGGAAUCGCUAGUAAUCGCGGAUCAGCACGCCCGCGGUCGAAUACGUUCCGGGCCUU
rnacentral:rRNA from 1 species